rnacentral:rRNA from 1 species
CAAACUGGAGAUGGCGACCGGCGCACGGGUGAGUAACACGUAUCCAACCUGCCGAUAACUCGGGGAUAGCCUUUCGAAAGAAAGAUUAAUACCCGAUGGCAUAAUAGAACCGCAUGGUUUGAUUAUUAAAGAAUUUCGGUUAUCGAUGGGGAUGCGUUCCAUUAGGCAGUUGGUGGGGUAACGGCCCACCAAACCUUCGAUGGAUAGGGGUUCUGAGAGGAAGGUCCCCCCACAUUGGAACUGAGACACGGUCCAAACUCCUACGGGAGGCAGCAUG